rnacentral:lncRNA from 1 species
CUUACCAUGUCAUAUCUCAUAUGGUGCGGUAGGAAUGGACUUUAGAGGGAACUCUAUUCAACAAGUAAAUAGCUGAAAAUAGGGCAUCUAUCUAAAGAAACAAGGGUAAAUCAGUGAAGCUCAUCAUGGACUGGACCAUAUCAAUAGAAUCCGAUUCCUCCUCUCUGACACUCCAUUGAGCUGAGGUGUACCAGGAGGAGUCCAUUAUGAAACUAUAUCAUUCUCCU